rnacentral:rRNA from 1 species
UACGGAGGGGGCUAGCGUUGUUCGGAAUUACUGGGCGUAAAGCGCGCGUAGGCGGCUUUGUAAGUUAGAGGUGAAAGCCCGGAGCUCAACUCCGGAACUGCCUUUAAGACUGCAUCGCUAGAAUCAUGGAGAGGUGAGUGGAAUUCCGAGUGUAGAGGUGAAAUUCGUAGAUAUUCGGAAAGAACACCAGUGGCGGAAGGCGACUCACUGGACAUGU